rnacentral:rRNA from 1 species
GAUGAACGCUAGCUACAGGCUUAACACAUGCAAGUCGAGGGGCAGCAUGUCGGUUGCUUGCAACCGAUGAUGGCGACCGGCGCACGGGUGAGUAACGCGUAUCCAACCUACCCUUGUCCAUCGGAUAGCCCGUCGAAAGGCGGCCUAACACGAUAAGCGGUUCACAGCAGGCAUCUAACGUGAACGAAAUGUGAAGGAGAAGGAUGGGGAUGCGUCUGAUUAGCUUGUUGGCGGGGUAACGGCCCACCAAGGCUACGAUCAGUAGGGGUUCUGAGAGGAAGGUCCCCCACAUUGGAACUGAGACACGGUCCAAACUCCUACGGGAGGCAGCAGUGAGGAAUAUUGGUCAAUGGACGAGAGUCUGAACCAGCCAAGUAGCGUGCAGGAUGACGGCCCUAUGGGUUGUAAACUGCUUUUAUAGGGGGAUAAAGUGUGCCACGUGUGGCAUAUUGCAGGUACCCUAUGAAUAAGGACCGGCUAAUUCCGUGCCAGCCGCCGCCGUAACAC